rnacentral:rRNA from 1 species
UUGGGAGAAGUUUGAUCCUGGCUCAGGAUGAACGCUGGCGGCGUGCCUAAUACAUGCAAGUCGAGCGAAUGGAUUAAGAGCUUGCUCUUAUGAAGUUAGCGGCGGACGGGUGAGUAACACGUGGGUAACCUGCCCAUAAGACUGGGAUAACUCCGGGAAACCGGGGCUAAUACCGGAUAACAUUUUGAACCGCAUGGUUCGAAAUUGAAAGGCGGCUUCGGCUGUCACUUAUGGAUGGACCCGCGUCGCAUUAGCUAGUUGGUGAGGUAACGGCUCACCAAGGCAACGAUGCGUAGCCGACCUGAGAGGGUGAUCGGCCACACUGGGACUGAGACACGGCCCAGACUCCUACGGGAGGCAGCAGUAGGGAAUCUUCCGCAAUGGACGAAAGUCUGACGGAGCAACGCCGCGUGAGUGAUGAAGGCUUUCGGGUCGUAAAACUCUGUUGUUAGGGAAGAACAAGUGCUAGUUGAAUAAGCUGGCACCUCGACG